CACGUAGGGCGCAAGCGUUGUCCGGAAUUAUUGGGCGUAAAGAGCUCGUAGGCGGUCUGUUGCGUCCGCUGUGAAAACUCGGGGCUCAACCCCGAGCCUGCAGUCGAUACGGGCAGACUAGAGUGCUGUAGGGGAGACUGGAAUUCCUGGUGUAGCGGUGAAAUGCGCAGAUAUCAGGAGGAACACCGGUGGCGAAGGCGGUUCUCUGGGCAUGAUCUGACGCUGAGGAGCGAAAGUGUGGGGAGCGAACAGG
rnacentral:rRNA from 1 species